GUUUAAGGGAACCGGAUUCUGGAACAUUCGGGACUGCGGCACCUUACGGCCGGACGGAGAUUUGGGUCUGCGCAGGCGACGAUGGGUGGUCCGACAAGCUUCAGGACUCGAUGGCGUAGCCCACUUCUUCCCCCACAAAAUUCAAGAGGUGCAGCUUGGCCUGUGCGUUGGUGACCUCCUCUUGGUGACUGGCUCAGCUGAGGAUGGCGCUGGUGUUCCCAGGACAGCACUGUACUGCUAGACGGCUCGCUUGCAUUUAUUUGGAACACAUAUAUGCAAGAAGCCUGGCAGUCCUACUGCGGUGCUGUCGAGCCAAUGAUUUGUGUAGUUCUGUGACCACGGUUGCUGACCAGUGUGACAUGAUCCCAGUCUUAUCAGCAAAUCACCACCAGAUUGCUUAUUGGAAACCAGAAACAACAAGGAAUAUAGGAUCUAAUCCCCUGCCUCAUGCCAGCUUGAACCCUGAGUAGCGGCCUUGGAAGUCUCAGACCACAUGUCACCCUGUGAGGUAAAAAGAGCCAAAGAGGACUUAACAGAGAGCAAGGGGACACUGCUCCUGGCCACUGGCCACUCUCCAAGACAGGUGAACUCUGUGUUCAAAAAGGGAUUCAUUUAAUCAUUUGGCUCCUAAUAGAAGUUAUUUGUAUUUUCUCUCCUUCUCUCUUUUCCCUCCUCUCUCCUUCCCCCCACCACCAGCCUCCAAAGAAUUUAAUCUGCUGGACAACAAACAAUACUGUUAUAAAACUUUGAAAACAAGAGGGCGAGGCCUCCCUGACAAGGAGAAGGGCAUGCUGGGUAACGGCCCGAGGGAGCGUGCCAGGCCCGAGAUGGAGCCGGGCGAGAGCCCAGUUGGCUGGGUACCUGGGCGCCUGCCCCUGCCCAGCCCACUCACUCCGCCACCCCCAGUUCAGAGGGGAAGAAACCAAAGUGCAAAGGGGACCAAGACAUGCUUGAAAAAGGGAAGUCCUGUGUGUUCCCCUCUCUGCGAUCUGAUGGGAAUGCACUAGACUGUGAAACUUCCUCCUCCACUCGGCUCCCUCCCUCCCUCCCUCUCUCCCUGCUUUCCCCUCCUGUCCCCUCCUCUCCCCUCCUCCUCCUCCUGCCUCCUGCUACUCACUGUUCUUGAGACUGGCAGGCAGAGGUCCUGAUAACAGAAUGAGGCUGGAGUAGCAAUGUAGGUGCAGCUACAGCUGGGCCAGCCGAAGGGGAAGCGGGAGAGAGAGCAGACUUGCAGAUGGCUUUGGACCUACCUCUGUCUGGCCCAGCCUCCCUCCCUCAGCUAGGAAAGUGGAACCACCUCACGUCACAGGGUGUGCCCAGUCCAUGUGCUCCGCCAGGUGUGUGCCCAGGUACUGGGUAGAACUGCCUUUCAGAGGUUAGUGGAUGCGCCCUGGCUUCCUGGUGCCUGCUUCAGGCUGUGCUCCAGGGAGGGUGUCUGACUUGGUGAAAUGCUCAAUGCUAUGAGGUGCUCUGUCCCCCCAGGGAGGAGCAUAGGCUGCUGGAGGAGCUCCUGGGACCCACUGAGCAGGCAUGAGGUCCUGUGAGCGUGGCACCUGGUAGGACACUGUGUCUUUACUUCUUGGCAACUGAAGGGGGGGUGACCAGGUCUUCCUGGGGGAGGUUGGGGAAUCUGCACUCUGGGGCAUCACUGCUCUGACCUCCAAUGGUAGACCUCACCUGAGGCUGAAGUUACGCUUCUGAGUCCGUUCUCGCAGAGCCAAGUAGAUGAUUGGGGAGUGACAAGGGAGUGGCGUUGGUGGUUUUCCUUUGGACCACAUUGGUUUGGGCCGGUGAACUGUGCGGUGGGCAUUGUGUGUGUGUAAUAGACCAUAGGCAUGCUCGCUUUUCCUCUUGGAAAGCACUGGCUUCCUUGAAAGCAGUUCAGGACUGUGACCGUCCUCCCCUCUGCCAGGGAACCCAGAACUUCGCGUUCCAGCCUUCCCUCCAUCCUUCCUCCUCCCCUCUCUCCCCGCUUUCUCCAGCUGCCCCCAUUUCCCCCAGGGGCAGGACAGGUGGAAAGCAUCCUCUCCAUCCAGCCAUCCUGACCCAGGGCCCCUACACCCUGUACAGAGUCUGGGAGCUUUUGAGACCCAGGGUUCGGUCAGUAACGUUGGGGAAGGGACAGAAAAGCUGACUUGCAACGAGUGCAACUGCCUAGGAAUGUAGGCUUCCGUGCCCGUGAUCCCAGGGAAGCCGGAAGAGCUGAUGCUGGGCCCACGGGGGCUUUGGAAGGCUGUGACUUCUCACCCUGUUACCUGAGUCAGUCCUCGAGGGGCCCGCCGGGUCUCAAGGAUGCUGCUCCCACUUUGGGAUUCAGGGCCUAGGAUGCAGAGUGGUGCCUGAUGCUGACCACUUCUUCUGGGGGCUUCGGGCCAGCCAGCCGUGUUCCUCCACCCAUGGUCUCUCAACACGUAUCUUUCAUUUUAUCACCCUUUCCUCUGAUUCAUUAACCGCAGCUAGUUGGCAGCGGGCCCUACCCUGACAGCUAAAGACAAAAUGUCCAGGACACUGGGUCUGGGCCGGAGUUGAGACUGACAGGAAGCUGGGCAGCCCUUUCAGUCCACACAACAAUGGUCUGGGACUGUCUUGAGAGCAGGACGUUCCUCUUUUUUCAAAAAGGCCUUCUAGUCUCCCUUUCUCCAAGUUGAGUUCUUCCUCACUGCUUGGAACCUUGAAACCAGCAUUCCCAGAGGCUAGAAGAUGGACGCUUGGGGCUCGGCUUCCGGCACCCUCCCCCACUCUGGCUGGAACUUGCAUCAGUCACGUAAGUAGCUGUGACUCAGCACCCAGCGCUGGGUCAGGAGGGAGAAGCUGCUGCCUUGGCAGGAACCUUCCCACGUUCUGCAUUUGAACACAUUGUGGUAGCCCAGGGCGGGUGAGCAGGAGAGGCUCCUGGCGAACACCACUGGGUUCAGCCGGUUCAUGUGUGCAUUUUACAAUCAGGGGUUCCUUCUCCUUCCCAUUUUCCUCCCAUGGUAUUUUUUGGGUACCAUGCUGGGCUCAAAAUAGGAUCUUCAGGACUUUAAAACACAGCAUCAUUUAGAGAAUGAAGUAGUAGUUGUCUUUUGCGAUCUCUUGACUGUUCUUAGCCAGUGGGCCGUGAAGUGUGUUUAACCCUCAUCUCUGUUUGGUUUGGCCUGCACGGGUUUUUUUUAAUGUAUCUGAUUUUGUAUGCCUCUAGACAGAAUGUGGCCUCUCCAGGCCACUACCUCCGUUGCACACUGUCGCUGCCUCUGUCUCUCCAUGUCCUGCCCAGGCUGUCAGCAUCUGCACAUGUGAUGACCAGUCUUCCCAGGCUGCCUCUGGACAGAUGGAGACACUGAGGCCCAUUCAGGGGAAGUGGCAGGUCUCUGUUCUCAGAGUUUGUGCCAAGCAGGCAGUUCUCCUUCACUGGGUGCUGACCUUUCUUCCGCCCUCGGGUCCCUUCCCCGGGCAAAAGAAUGUCCUGGAAGGUAGAAAAGCCUCUAGAUAGAAUGUGAGCAUGAAAAGUCUGGCUGGAGCCAGGCUUCCCAGACCGCUUCCCUGCAGUGUCACCUCUAGGGCUGCACAUCUACUCUGUGGGUGAGUGGUCUUCCUUCCUAGAUAGCUUCACUAAGCCCUUCAACAUGGCCAGUUGGCUUGGGCCCAUUAGGCCAAGGCAGGAGAAUCCCAUCACUCUCCUUGGACAGCAGAGCCCCCAGGAGGCUGAGGGUUUCACAGACUGCCUUCUUCCAGAUCUAGGUGGCCCUCAGGCUCACUGCCAGGAAGAGGAAGCCCCUGCCAGCCCUUAUCAAAUCACCCUGCUACUCCCAGCUAGCACAGAGCCACCAGCUCAUUUCAGAGAAGAAUCUUUGCUCAGCUGACUUUUAGAAGAGAGCUCUGCUUCCACUGAGAGGUCUACGACCCGAAUGACCCUGGGAUUGAAAGGGCAAAAGAUUUGGGUGCUAGGUAGACUGGGUGACACUUCACUUCCAGGAGAGCAGCGGAGACAUUACUUCAGGGUCACCCUGACAACCAAAGGAGAAGGGCACAUUCUGAAGGAGAGAAUGACUUGGCCCUCCAGUAGGUGGGACUAGACUCGGGGGAGGUGUGGGGAGGCUUUCGUGAGCCAGGAUGGGGAGGGUGACUGGAGCUAAGGGAGAGUGGAUGGAGGGAUUCCAGAAGGGCCAGCAGAGUCAGGGCCUGUGGUAGAAGGAAGGUGCUUUCAGGAUCACUGCAGGACACCUGUGCAUGGGCGUGUAGGAGGGGGGGUUUGUCGGGUCUCAUGACCGAAAGUGCUAAGGAGGAGUUCAACUGAAGUAAAAAGCCGAAAAACCGAGAAUUAUCGUAUGUAAAUCUCAACCAUCCCCCUCAUUUUACAGGAUUUGGAUCUUUGGUAAUAAAUGUCAUGACAUUCCUGACCUUAAAACCCUCGCUGUCACCGUCCACCCGACCCCAGUGUUGGUUGCAGAUGUCACCCCAGAUCAGCCCCUCAGCUCCUCCCCCACCUGCAGCUGAGGCCCUGGGAAGCCUGGUGGUAGAUGGCAGAGUCUACUAUUGGUGUCCGAAUUACUAGAGCGGGUUCCUUGCCAACAGCUUCCGCACUGCUGGGGGAGCCGUGCUGGGGGAGGACCUCAAAGUCUCCAGAGAGAGCAACAGUUACCCCAAACCACCUGACCUCUUGCAGAAUCAAAAUCAUGCCCCCAUCUCCACCCAAGUAUAGUGUGUUCUGUAGUCAGUAUCAUCCCACUUCCCUGCAAAAUGGCCUCCCUAUUUUCUCCCUCCUCCCAAAUUGCUCCAAGUUAAGUUCAGGAAUAAAACAAGAUGAUAGUCAAGCUAUGGAGCAAGCAGCAGUGGACAGAGGGGUGGGAACAUGGACUUGGGAGUUAGACCUGGAUUUGCAUUUAUGGUUCAUGUGACUUCAAACAAGUUAUUUAUCCUCAUUAAGGAUCAGUUUCUUUGCCUGCAAAAACUGGAACAACAUCUGCAUCAUUGAGACUGUUGUGACAACUAAAUGGCUCUACUCUUGAUGUUCAAAUUUUAUUUCCUUCUUUUCCUUGUAGCAACACAACCAUUGUUGCCAAGGACAUGAAAAAGAUAAGUCUAUGUUUAGAGGCCUAAAGAAUUGGUUGGGAACCUAAAACACAGCUUCUGUCUCUUCUUUCUCUGGGUUAUGGUAUCCGAGGAAACACCCCUAUUUUCUUAGCUUCAAAUAGCCCCCCCCCCAAAAAAAAAAAAAAGAUGAUGCAGAAGAGGAAAUCUAAUUUGGAACAUAGUUUAGAAAUUUAUUGUCAGACAAAUUUUGAAAACAAAGCUCAGUUUCAAUUAUGUGAAUUCAAUAUAAUGAUAUUCAUACCAGAGGUUAAAUCCAGUAGUCAGUUAAAGGUGUCAGAUUUGAAGCUCUUGAUACUGACAUGUGGGGUGGGAAGGAGGAGUCCAUGCUCUGUCUGAAGGAAGCAUUGCCUUGGGAAGGUGGGGCUCACCUUUAUUGUAGUGUCCAGUGCCUCAGAAGCAGGUAGACUGCUUGUGUCCUGAUGGAGGGGGAGGAAUAAUGUAUCUAGAAACACUUUGUGCUGGGAAAUAUAUAAAAGCAAGAGUGGUAUGACUGUAAAAUUAAUGUAUUUUAAAAUUAAAUACUUUGGAUUUGGCUAUUUUAUUUCAUCAUGUAUAAUAAUUUACAGUGACUGGUUGUAAAACUAAACAGAGUUAAUGAGUUUCGUAUCGCUCUCAUCUGUUUGAGGAUGCGCCAUGACUUUCUGUUGCUUUGAGCAGAACCUUUUACUUCUCCUCUGUGUUUCUAAUGGAUCAUUCUGUCAUGUCACAAGUAGAAGACAUUUCUUCUCAGGGCGGAGGCCUGGUCUUCGGAUGGCAUCUCCCUGCCUUCUUCGGUGAGAUCCUCUUCUUCUGGAAGCUGGUUUCACAUGGUGGCUUAGAUUUUUCCAUCUUUGUAUCUAGCACCAUUUGAAAUCAGUGUUUUAGGAGUAAGAAUUGCAGCUCGGCAAAGGAUGAACUGGAGAGGAGCUGCUGCCCAAAGGACUGACUCCUUUCGCUGCUUGAACCUGUUCGAGAAGUCAAGGGAAGCCUUGGAAAGCAAAAUUCACUCUUGAAGAUGGUGGGUGUGGGUGGGGCGACGGCAGGGCGGGGAGGGGAGGUGUGUUUAAAGUAAACGCAGUGGCUUGAGCAGGGCACAGCUGACUGCUAGCAUUUGUCUCCAGCAUUAAUACAUUGGGUAGGGGCUCUAUGCACAGUGGUUGUGCUGUUCAGCUGAUGAUGAUGUGUUGGGUGUUGACUGUAAUAGGGAGGGGCAGAGGGCUGUUCACCUGGAGGACUGUCACCUCAGCACUGUCCACUUGCUCCUGGAGGAUGCCCUGGAGUAUCCAGCUGGAAUCAGAUUUGCCACCUGCAGAGGUGCAGACCCGAGGAGCACUACCGGCUCAUCUCUUACACAGGCUGACCGAUUUCUCCUGGUGUUCAGAGUCUGUUUUUGUCUAGCACCAUUUGAAAUCGGUUAUGAUGUAGGGGGAAAAGCAGCAACCUCACAGCCUCAUGCCAAGUCUGGUCAGCAGCAGCCUGUGGUUUCCUGGAAGAUGGAUGGGCAGAGAGUGGGGAAGGAAGAUCACACUUUCUGUGCUAACUUCUUUAGCUGCAUUCAUGAUAUGUUAUUGCAGAGGUAAGAGAUAAUUUAAUGGAUUUUUAAAAACAAAUCACUGUAAUUUAUCUGAUGUCCUCAGUUGCAUUUUCUGAAAUGUAAUACGACCGUGAACUUGUGUAAAUUGGUUGCUGUUGAAUUAUCUUUCUGUUAAGAAGUGUGUUCAUGCAUCCUGACUUUAAUAAAUAAUUUCAUAUAUUCAAUUUAUCAUGUCUGUUUUUCAUCUAUUAUUUUCCAUUCAUAAUUUUAUGAUAAGUGGGUCUUGAAAAAUUAAUUUGCUGUUCAGAUCCUGCCUACCUCAGAAGGAAUUUGAAGUAGGUUACAGCAGACAGACAUUAAAAAAUGAAGCUCAUUAAGACAAG